UUUCCGUAGGUGAACCUGCGGAAGGAUCAUUGCACACACGAUGCAGCAAACUAGCGAACUGUGUUUGUCCCCCACCUACCCCAAACACGAGGGGCCGCAUCUGGAGGUGCGGCUGUCGACGGCUAGGUCCCGACCUUCGGGUCCCCGCAGUGGUUCCCGCAAGCGGGCUGAUCAUGUCGCCGUCUGUGUGUCCCGCGCGGACUCUCGCCUUGCCUUAGGGUUGGGCGACGCGGGCAUUCUCCUCCCUUCGAUGGCGUCGUCCCCGCCUCCGGGAGAGCGACACGUCUCGAGGGCCGUGUACAACUUUGCACCAUGUACAACACCAGUGGCUGAGUAUACCGGUGUCCCGGUUCCGCUGCUACCCUCGGGUGGUGCGGGAGUGGUCCAUAGGAACAAGAGUAAAUAAAAACAACUCUCAGCAACGGAUAUCUUGGCUCUU
rnacentral:misc_RNA from 1 species